CAGCCCUUUAUUAUAAUUGUUGUACAGCAAGAGAAUUAUAAACAUAACUUUUUAAAACGCACUUGUAUAUUAUUCAAUUUUUGAUUUAAGUGGACCAUACAAUCCACUUAAUUAAAGAAAAGUGCAUUUGUAAUGAGUCAUGACUAACAAUUUUGAAGUCAAACAUGUACAUGUAAAUUAUUUGUAAAUUACUUAUUUAAACCUAGUCAAUAUUCUUGCUUUUUUUUAUUUACAUCUACCAUGCUUUUUUUUUAUAUCCAUAUACACAAAUAUUUACACUUACAUGUACUAUGUAACGAUGAUCACACAAGAGAUAUAUGUAUGUACCUGCACUUUUUAUACAGCAGAAGAGCAAAAAAAAAUCUUCAUUUGCACAGUAUUGUGCAAUAGAUUUUUGAGAUCUUUGACCACAUUCAUUUUGUGACAGAAACCUAUAUUAUUUCAAAAAUUUGAUCACAAUCCACAUUCAGACAGUAUCAAGCUUGAAUAUUGUGUCCAAAUUUGCCCAAACUGUUCCAAGAUUCAACCUCUGCUGUUGUAUCAGGCUACACUCAGCCAAGCAUUUUAUUAUAGAUUAUAUCUCAGUCAAACUAUAUGUAUGUAGUUUUGUUUAUUUUUCAUUGUUCAAAGACAAUAUGUAUUGCUUAUAAUUGAAUGAAUUUCGGUAUAUGUACAUGUACACUGUCAUUAGACAUGUUAGAAGCAGUUUUGGAUUUCACGUACAAAUAUUUUGGUCAAUCAGCUUUGGCUUUCCAUUGAAUAAUUUUGCAUGUAUUAUCUUCAUGGCUUAAGAGACAGGAGAUUUGUAAAAAAAGAAAUACAGAAAGAUGAAUAUGCACUAAACAUGCUAAAAGAUUUGGAUAUUUUUGUCUAAAAAAACAGCAUACAUGUACCAGACCUAAUCCAGGUCAUACAUUUAUAUUUAAAUAAUUAAUAUUCAUGUGUACAUGUAUAUGCACAUUAUUAAAAAAUUUCAUAUGUACAUGUAUGCAGAUAUUAAGGCUUUAUUGACCAUGUUGACACUUGAACAGAUUUUUAUGCCCAACCUACGAUAGUAAAAGGGUCAUUAUGUGUUCUGGUCUGUGGGUCCGUCCGUUCAUUCGUCUGUUGGUCCAUCUGUUCAUUCCCCCUCAGGUUAAAGUUUUUGGUCAAAGUAGUUUUUGAUGAAGUUGAAGUCCAAUCAACUUGAAACUUAGUACACAUAUUCUGUAUGAUAUGAUCUUUCUAAAUUUAAUGCCAAAUUAGAGUUUUGACCCCAAUUUCAUGGUCCAUUGAACACAUGUACUAUGGACACAUUCUUGUUUUUAGCUCACCUGGCCCUAAGUGCAUGAAGUGAGCUUUUCUCAUCACUUGGCGUCCGUUGUCCUGCUGUCGUCUGUUAACUUUUUGCAAAAAUCUUCUCCUCUGAAACUACUUGGGUACAAUCAUCAUUGGGGUAUUUAGUUAAAAAAAUGUGUCCGGUGACCUGGCCAGCCAACCAAGAUGGCGUCCAUGUCUAAAAAUUAAAUAUAGGGGUAAAAUGUAGAUUUUGGUUUAUAACUCUGAAAUCAAAGCAUUUAGAGCAUAUCUUACAUUGGGUUAAAUUGUUAAUCAAGUCAAGAUCUAACUGCCCUGAAAUUUUUAGAUGAAUCGAACAACCGGUUGUUGUGUUGCUGCCCCUGAAUUGAUAAUUUUAAGGAAAUUUUGCUGUUUUAGGUUAUUAUCUCCAAUAUUAGUAUAAAUAUAGAUAAACUGUAAACAGCAAAGUAAUACCUACAAAUAAGUUAUGAUGAGCAAAAUGGUCAAUUGACUCCUUAAGGAGUUAUUGCCCAUUAUAGUCAAUUUUACCAUUUUUCUUGAAUUUUUGUAAUCUUUUACAAAAAUCUUCUCCUCUGAAACUACUGGGCCAAAUUUAACCAAACUUCUUUGCCAAAAUCAUCAUUGGGGUUUCUAGUUUUAAAAUAUGUCUGGGGACCCAGCCUGCCAACCAAGAUGGCCGCCAUGGCUAAACAUAGGGGUAAAAUGUAACAAUUUUCAUAAAUUUUGUAAAUUUUGGUAAAUUUUUACAAAAUAUUUUUCUGUAACUACUGGGCAAAGUGCAUUAUAGAUAGAUAUAUUGUUAACAGCAAAAGUGUUCAUUAAAGUAAUAUGGCGUCACAGGGGUUGGCCAAUAUCUACGAACACAUCACCAUCACCAAAACACAAUUUUGUCAUAAAUCCAUCUGUGUCCUUUGUUUAAUAUGCACAUAGACCAAGGUGAGCGACACAGGCUCUUUAGAGCCUCUAGUUAGUUUAUAUGAAAUAGUGUUUUCUUUUACCCAAAAAUGAAUGAUAGGCCUUACUUGACUCAAAUAUUCAGUUAGUACAAAAUGUUUAUGCAUGUGUUCAAAAUUUGCAGUUGACUUUUUGACAGGUUAUGGUGCUAUCGUAUAGAAGGCAAUAAAGGAAUGUGCAUUGAAGAAAAAUAUUAUUAUAUUUAUGCAUUAUGGAGUACAUGUAGUACUUAUUUUGCCACCAGAAUGUAUAAGCUUUAACUAUUGUACUGUAGAUUAUGGGUACUUUUAUUUAAGGAUAAAAUUUAUAAAUAUUCAUCUGUUGUUCAUUUUAUCCUGCUCAUGAUGGAGUGAAAGUGAGACAUAUAAGGUGACAACUACUGAUUUUUGAAGUUAUUCAAAAUGUUUUAUAUUCAAAAGGUAAAAGUA
rnacentral:lncRNA from 1 species